UCGAGGUGGAAGCAUGGUGACAUGUGGAGCUGACGAAUACUAAUAGAUCGAGGACUUAACCAUA
rnacentral:rRNA from 11 species